GGGGUAGGUCUUUCCUGUGCUGUUCUCAUGAUAGUACAUAAGUUGCAUGAGAGCUGAUGGUUCUAUAAGGGGAGCUUUCCUGCACAAACUCUUUCUUUGCCUGCUGCCAUCCAUCUAAGAUGUGACUUGCCUCUCCUUGUCUUCCACCAUGAUUGUGAGGCUUUCCCAGUCACAUGGAACUGUCAGCAAUGUGGGUGACAGAUACUUCUUUUUGCUGUUGGAACACUUCAUAUUCAUCUCUGGUAUUGUCAUGGCCUUUGACAUACCUUACCAACAAGAGAGUCAGAGCCACAGGAUGAACUUUCUCAACCCAUCCUCUUUAAGGAAAAGAAGUUGUUGGCUGAGUCACGAGGACCUUAUGUAUGCCAAGAACAUCGUUUUUGCCUCCUUAGGUGAAACUUUAUUUCCCACAUUUAGGAUUCAUUAGGAUUAUCUAAGGCAUGGUGGCUCUUUCCUGUAAUCCCAGCUACUCAAGAGACAGAGUAGGAAGGAUCCCUUGAGUCCAGAAGUUCAAGGCUGCAGUGAGCUAUGAUGGCAGUACUGCCCUCCAGCUGGGGAAACAGAGUGAUACCUUGUCUCAAAAAAAAAAAAAAAAAAAAAAAGGAAUAAAAAUAAAAGUGUCA
rnacentral:lncRNA from 1 species